UGUUUUCCUUUCUCCGCAGAUGUCAUCUGGGUGAUCCUCAGCGUGGAAGUUGGAGGACUUCUAGGUGUAACACAGCAGCUGUCGUCCUUUGAAACAGAGUUCAACACGCAACCGCACCGCAAGGUAGAAGGAAACUUUAACCCAUUCGCCUCUCCACAGAAGAACAGGCAACCAGAUGAAAACAACCUAAAAGACCCUGGGGGUUCCGAGCUAGGCACAAUCAGCAAAAACACAUGGGGGCCUGCUCCUGACCAAAUCGAACAAGAUCAGAAUGGACUGUCACAAAACUCUGUAAAUCUCUCCCCCAGCAGUCACUCGAACAACUUGUCGGUAGUGACGUACAGUAAGGUAGGUGCCCUGGGAGAACAGGAGAACGGGUAGGUGCUGAGACCGGGAGGUGUGUCAUAGUUCUUCGUUCCAAACUGCAAAGCCCUUCCCUUCUGCUUCUGCCAGACCUGCUAAGGAAGGUUUUCAAUUUGACUGUCUGACUCUGCCAACUCCUCAUGUUAUAUUAAAACACGUUUGCCUCUGAUAGACUCUACCAGAUCCACCUUUUCGUUUUUGCUUCAAGUCCUUCUUAAAAUUUAUAUAAUCUUGUCUGGGUGCUGUAACUAUCAGUGGCUGGAGCCUGCUCCGGUUGCGUGUGCAAAUAAGUCAAAAUAUCUCUCUAGAUCGAACAGAAUUUUGAAAAGAGG